AUACGGAGGAUGCAAGCGUUAUCCGGAUUUAUUGGGUUUAAAGGGUGCGUAGGCGGUUUGCUAAGCGGGAGGUGAAAUGCCGGCGCUCAACGUCGGAAGUGCCUCCCGAACUGGUGGACUGGAAUGACUCUGCCGUGGGAGGAAUGUGUAGUGUAGCGGUGAAAUGCUUAGAGAUUACACAGAACACCGAUUGCGAAGGCAUCUCACGAAGGGUUGAUUGACGUUGAGGCACGAAAGCGUGGGGAUCAAACAGGAUUAGAUACCCUGGUAGUCCACGCAGUAAACGAUGAUGGCUAACCGCUGGUUUAUUCGGAUCAGUGGCCAAGCGAAAGCGAUAAGCCAUCCACCUGGGGAGUACGACCGCAAGGUUGAAACUCAAAUGAAUUGACGGGG
rnacentral:rRNA from 1 species